AGGACGAACGCUGGCGGCGUGCUUAACACAUGCAAGUCGAGCGGAAAGGCCCUUCGGGGUACUCGAGCGGCGAACGGGUGAGUAACACGUGAGCAACCUGCCCUUAGCUUCGGGAUAGCUCCGGGAAACCGGAAUUAAUACCGGAUAUGACUAUGGCCGACAUCAGCCAUGGUGGAAAGUUUUUCGGCUAGGGAUGGACUCGCGGCCUAUCAGCUAGUUGGUGAGGUAACGGCUCACCAAGGCGACGACGGGUAGCCGGCCUGAGAGGGCGACCGGCCACACUGGGACUGAGACACGGCCCAGACUCCUACGGGAGGCAGCAGUGGGGAAUAUUGCGCAAUGGGCGAAAGCCUGACGCAGCGACGCCGCGUGGGGGAUGAAUGCCUUCGGGUUGUAAACCCCUUUCAGCAGGGACGAAGCGAAAGUGACGGUACCUGCAGAAGAAGCGCCGGCUAACUACGUGCCAGCAGCGC
rnacentral:rRNA from 1 species